rfam:Myotis davidii contig136697, whole genome shotgun sequence.
UAUAGGGAUUUUUUUAAAUCCAUUAAUGUAAUCUUAAAGGAGGUGU